rnacentral:rRNA from 1 species
AUUGAACGCUGGCGGCAGGCUUAACACAUGCAAGUCGAGCGGGGGAAGGUAGCUUGCUACCGGACCUAGCGGCGGACGGGUGAGUAAUGCUUAGGAAUCUGCCUAUUAGUGGGGGACAACAUCUCGAAAGGGAUGCUAAUACCGCAUACGUCCUACGGGAGAAAGCAGGGGAUCUUUGGACCUUGCGCUAAUAGAUGAGCCUAAGUCGGAUUAGCUAGUUGGUGGGGUAAAGGCCUACCAAGGCGACGAUCUGUAGCGGGUCUGAGAGGAUGAUCCGCCACACUGGGACUGAGACACGGCCCAGACUCCUACUGGAGGCAGCAGUGGGGAAUAUUGGACAAUGGGCGGAAGCCUGAUCCAGCCAUGCCGCGUGUGUGAAGAAGGCCUUUUGGUUGUAAAGCACUUUAAGCGAGGAGGAGGCUACUUAGAUUAAUACUCUAGGAUAGUGGACGUUACUCGCAGAAUAAGCACCGGCUAACUCUGUGCCAGCAGCCGCGGUAACAC